rnacentral:ribozyme from 1 species
AGAAAGAAGAUCUGGGCCGUUCAAAAAAGAAAAAGGACAAGCUUGAAACCAGAAAGAACACUCGAAUUUUGUUUACGAGCCUUGUUUCUUGACCUUCUUCUUUUUCUUU